rnacentral:rRNA from 1 species
GACGAACGCUGGCGGCGUGCUUAACACAUGCAAGUCGAACGGAAAGGCCCUGCUUUUGUGGGGUGCUCGAGUGGCGAACGGGUGAGUAACACGUGAGUAACCUGCCCUUGACUUUGGGAUAACUUCAGGAAACUGGGGCUAAUACCGGAUAGGAGCUCCUGCUGCAUGGUGGGGGUUGGAAAGUUUCGGCGGUUGGGGAUGGACUCGCGGCUUAUCAGCUUGUUGGUGGGGUAGUGGCUUACCAAGGCUUUGACGGGUAGCCGGCCUGAGAGGGUGACCGGCGACAUUGGGACUGAGAUACGGCCCAGACUCCUACGGGAGGCAGCAGUGGGGAAUAUUGCACAAUGGGCGGGAGCCUGAUGCAGCAGCGCCGCGUGCGGGAUGACGGCCUUCGGGUUGUAAACCGCUUUCGCCUGUGACGAAGCGUGAGUGACGGUAAUGGGUAAAGAAGCACCGGCUAACUACGUG